rnacentral:rRNA from 1 species
UAGGGAAUCUUCGGCAAUGGGGGCAACCCUGACCGAGCAACGCCGCGUGAGUGAAGAAGGUUUUCGGAUCGUAAAGCUCUGUUGUAAGUCAAGAACGAGUGUGAGAGUGGAAAGUUCACAUUGUGACGGUAGCUUACCAGAAAGGGACGGCUAACUACGUGCCAGCAGCCGCGGUAAUACGUAGGUCCCGAGCGUUGUCCGGAUUUAUUGGGCGUAAAGCGAGCGCAGGCGGUUUGAUAAGUCUGAAGUUAAAGACUGUGGCUCAACCAUAGUUCGCUUUGGAAACUGUCAAACUUGAGUGCAGAAGGGGAGAGUGGAAUUCCAUGUGUAGCGGUGAAAUGCGUAGAUAUAUGGAGGAACACCGGUGGCGAAAGCGGCUCUCUGGUCUGUAACUGACGCUGAGGCUCGAAAGCGUGGGGAGCGAACAGGAUUAGAUACCCUGGUAGUCCACGCCGUAAACGAUGAGUGCUAGGUGUUGGAUCCUUUCCGGGAUUCAGUGCCGCAGCUAACGCAUUAAGCACUCCGCCUGGGGAGUACGACCGCAAGGUUG